UCAGAUUCCCGAUGCAUAUAAACUUUCUGAUUGAUCUAAAGUAUUGUCUUAUUGCAGGUGUCCCUGUGGGAUGGUAUUAUACCUUCCAAAGAGCAUGCAAAAUUCUGGAUUCAUACAACAAACAAGUAUCGUUUCACUGAUCAGGGAAGCAAUCUCCAGGGAAAAGAAUUCAACUUGACUUUGCACUGGCAUGUCAUGCCCAAAACUGGCGAGAUGUUUGCUGAUAAAAUAGUUAUGUCCGGUUUCAGUUUGCCAGUGGAAUAUAGAUGAGGACUUUUUUGUUGUGUAGGACUUGACUGUAACUUUAUCCUUGCCUUAUUCAAGGUGGAAUAUGGG